AUGCCAAAUAGAACACUCAUAGUCCUGUCGGCUGCUAACGCUGCAAACAUAGGAUAUUCCUGGAUUAUUGGGAAUGGCAAGAGCAUCACAUUUUGGGAAGACCAGUGGAUUGGCCAUACCACCCUGGCUACUAAGUAUUGGAGUUUAUAUAGUAUUGCCAAUGAACAGAAUAGCACUGUGAGCGAUGUCUGGGACGGCACUAAUCUAAAAAUCUCUUUCAGGAGAUGUUUUUCCAGUGAUAUGCUAGCUGAGUGGAAUGAUCUAUUCAGCUUCAUUAAAAAUACUGUGCUAAUAGACAAAGUACACACUGUUUGUUGGAAUUAUGAUUCAAAAGGUGUUUAUACUGUUAAGUCCUUUUAUAAUGUAGUUAAUUUUAGAGGGAUUCACCCUGGGGAUCUCCUAUCCAUCUGGAAUAUCAAAGUUCCCCUUCGCAUUCAUAUAUUUCUUUGGCUUAUGUUAAAAAAAAGUGUUGACUAG
rnacentral:rRNA from 1 species